GGGGGUGCCCGAGUGCCGCCGCCGCCGCCGCCCGCCAUGAGGGCAGCGCUCGCCCCCGGGGUUCGCCUGCUCCGCGCCCUCCCCCGGGACAGCCGCUAUCGGGGGCUGACUCUGGUACUGACCUUCCUCUCCUACACCAGCUACCACCUCUCCCGAAAACCCAUCAGCAUCGUCAAGAGCCAGCUGCACCCCAACUGCUCAGCCUUGGGCCUGAACCCCCACAAUGACUCCAACAGCAGCACAUGGUGCUGCUGGGCCCCCUUUGAUGGGGACAACUACAAGGAGCUUUUUGGGGCACUGGAUAAUGCCUUCCUGGUGGCCUACGCCAUCGGGAUGUUUAUCAGCGGCAUUUUUGGGGAGCGCCUCCCUCUGCGCUAUUACCUGUCGGGGGGAAUGGUGCUGAGUGGGCUCUUCACUGCACUUUUCGGCCUCGGCUACUUCUGGGACAUCCAUGUCCUCUGGUACUUCAUCGUCGUGCAGGUCUGCAAUGGGCUGGUGCAGACGACUGGCUGGCCUGCAGUCGUGGCAUGCGUUGGAAACUGGUUUGGGAAAGGAAAGAGAGGUUUGAUCAUGGGCAUCUGGAACUCGCACACCUCCGUCGGCAACAUCUUAGGGUCGCUCAUCGCCGGCGCCUGGGUUUCCUCUGCCUGGGGCCUGUCCUUCGUUGUGCCCGGCAUCAUCAUCACCACCGUGGGCAUCAUCUGCUUCUUCUUCCUCGUGGAGUAUCCUGAAGAUGUUGACUGCAGUCCACCUCUGCAUCACAUGGCUCAUGACGAGGAUCCUGGAGGAGUGACCAUCAGUGAGAAGGAUCCUGAAGCAGUCACCUCCAACGAGGGCCCACUCAGCCUCUCAGGCCAGAGCAGUGUGGAUCACUCCCACAGCCCCAAGGAGCCAGCUGAGGAGCCCGAAGCCAUCAGCUUCCUUGGGGCACUUCGGAUACCUGGUGUGGUGGAGUUCUCCCUGUGCCUGCUCUUUGCCAAACUGGUGAGCUACACCUUCCUCUACUGGCUGCCCCUCUACAUUGUCAACGUCGCUCAUUUCGGUGCCAAGGAAGCCGGGGACCUGUCGACCCUCUUUGAUGUUGGGGGUAUUUUAGGGGGGAUCUUUGCUGGCCUCAUCUCUGACUACACUGGCGGCAGGGCCACCACGUGCUGCGUGAUGCUGGUGGUCGCCGCUCCCAUGCUGUUCCUGUAUAACCACAUCGGUCAGAACGGCAUUGGCACAUCAAUAGCGAUGCUGAUCAUCUGUGGUGCUCUGGUUAAUGGGCCCUACGCGCUCAUCACAACAGCGGUGUCGGCAGAUUUGGGAACCCAUGAAUCUCUCAAAGGAAAUGCCAAAGCCCUUUCGACUGUCACGGCCAUCAUCGACGGCACGGGAUCCGUUGGUGCUGCACUGGGGCCGCUGCUCGCUGGGCUCAUCUCUCCCACGGGCUGGAAUAAUGUCUUUUACAUGUUGAUAGCUGCUGAUGUCCUGGCUUGUCUGCUCCUUGCUCGUGUGGUGGUCAAAGAGGCCCGUGGCUGGUGUGGCUACAUGGCGAGGAAGAGAGGGUACGUAGUUACCAACCUGGGGCAGCCUCUGGUCCCACGAUGCCAAAACACGGCGUCAUUGCCACUCCAGAAAGAUGUUUGUUAUCCCUUGCUGUUGCUGCUGCAUCUUCACGUGGGCAUCGCCCCGGGCUUCGCCAAGCCGUCUGCCUGAUGUCUCGCUCCUGUGGCCACAGAGACAUUUCCACCCUGAGCCAAGGCAGCACCUGGGGGAUUUUAGCCAUCUGCACCUCAAAAAACACUUGGGGUGCUAAACACACCGUCCUUGUGUCUUUGUAGCUCUAGUGUGCAGCUAACAGAGUCAGUGAUGGAUGGGAAGUAGCUUGGUGUGAAAGACCAAUAGUCUGGGCCUCGUGCUGCGGUUUAAGGAGUUUUGACGUGCCCCCUGCGAGCCGCCCCAAGCCCAGAGGGAGGAGAGAGGCUGGGGCACACCGGGAGUGCGUCUGGGCAAAGCUGCAGCCCAGCCUCGGGCACGGCCCCGGGGGCUCACUGCCACCAUAGGUUUGCUUCCAACGGAGGCAGGGGCGAGGAGCAGUCAAAGGGCCCUGGCCAAAUGGUUUUCGGGGUCAAUUCUUCACCAUCGGCCAUUUUAUUAAUAAAAACGUGCAAAACCUG